CAACUCUGAGUCAGUCCCUUUACUCAUCUUUGUGUCCCUAGCACUUACUGUUGUAGAAAACAUCAAAAUUAUUUCUUGACUGAAUUAAAGAGCAAAUAGCAGUGAAUAACCACUGCUUCCUGCUUUCUCCUUCAUCAUGGAAGAAUGAAAAAGGAGUGUGGAUUCUACCAUGGUGAUCUUUGUGUGGCUUCAUCCAUCACCCAUGGGAGAGUGCUCCUCAGAGCUGCUCUGCACUGUUGACAGAGGAACAAUGCACCAAUGCACCUGGGAAAAGGGACGUCUCCAGCUUAUUCCUCCUUUGAGAUUUGGGAUGCAUUGCUUUACUAUUUUGAGUCCCUCAAAAUAACAAGUGUAUUGAACAGUCUCACCAUACCCCAAUAAAUAUGUAAAAUACUGUGCAUCAAUGGAAAAUAAAGAACAUUAAAAACAUCACGUAUACUUUACAUAUACACAAUAGAAAUAAAUUGAAGAAAUUUGAGUUGAAAUUUGUUUCUGGGUGGAGGGAUAUAUGUGAGUGUGUGUGUACA
rnacentral:lncRNA from 1 species